UAAUAUACUGUACUACGGUUUUAGGUGUUCUUUUUAUUUUAAUAAUACGUUGAUAAAUUACCAAUUUUUUCAAUUUUUUUUUCUUAUCACAAAGCUAGUUCGUCUUUGUGUAUGUUUAAAUUUAUAUUUUUUUAUAGUUAUUGUGCUGUUUAACUUUCUUAUAAAAGAGAGCGAGGAAUUAAAAAGGUGGCCACCGAACAGAAAGUUAAACUGCAAUAUACUAUAAUCUUUUUAGUUCUUGUUUACAUUUUUAACUGAUAAAUUAUGAAUAUAAAAUUUCAAAUUAAUUUAAAUUCAAAAAUAAAAGAACACCAACAUAGAUUUCUUAAACAUUAAAAUUUUACUAUAAGUUUAAAUUACAUUUAAUCAGCACAUUAGUUGAAGUUUUAUAGGAACCAAACAUUUGGCUGGAUCAUGGACUACUCAAAGACGGAGAAUUGGUCAUCGAGCACUCGGCUCGUUUCACCCGGAGGAAGAUUAGCAGCAUCAAUAAGAAGCUCAUCUUAAUAUCAACUGUCCAAAGGAUUGUGAAGAAGAAGAAGUUGUCACAAAGCUGAUGGGAAAUGUGUCGGCACUCGGCUUCGUUUCAACCCGGAGGAAGAUUUGCAGCAUCAAAAAGAAAUUCAACUGAUAAUCAACUGUCAAAAGGUGAAGAAGAAGUUGUCACAAAGCUGAUGGGAAAUGUGUCGGCACUCGGCUUCGUUUCAACCCGGAGGAAGAUUUGCAGCAUCAAAAAGAAAUUCAACUGAUAAUCAACUGUCGAAAGGUGAAGAAGAAGUUGUCACAAAGCUGAUGGGAAAUGUGUCGGCACUCGGCUUCGUUUCAACCCGGAGGAAGAUUGGCAGCAUCAAAAAGAAGAUCACUUAAUUUAGUUGUCCCCCCUUUACGCAUUAGCGCUCAUCUCUCAUCCACUCAUCCAACACAUUGACUACGCCGGCCGGCAACACACAUAUAUUAUACACAUUACCCGUUUUAUAUUAUAUAAUUUUAUUAAUACCUACAUAGUUUAAGUUAUUGUAUAUUUUUUUUUUAUUAUUUGAAUGCAUUCAUAUGAUCAGUUGUGUAUUUAGGAAUUUUAGGAUAAGGGCAACACAUAUUUUGCCGCAUUCCCCCCAUUAAAAAAAAAUUAAAAAACUUCUACACCGCGCAAUAGUGGUCAAACUGUUAAUACCAUAGAAUACCAUGUUAUAUAAAUACUAUAGUAUUUUAUACCUCUAUGGCACACAUGUGUUGUGAAAAUUAUUAAUGAUUGACGUCACUGCGCCAGUACGAAAUAAAAAUUUACCGCCCCUCUAAAUCUUUAAAAUUUUGCCGUUCUGGACAAUUGA